rnacentral:lncRNA from 1 species
AGAGCUUGAAUCAAGAUAGGCUUAAUAGGGAGGUGCAAACCUCAUUCAUUCAAAGUGAAAUUAGAGCCAUAAAAGAAGAACAAAAGAAACAAAGAAAAGAAUUGCUGAAACAAAUAAUUCACAAUGGCAAAACAUUCAUUCGAAAUAUAAGUGAAUUUNGGCAUCAAGAAAGAGAAUUUAGAGAUCAACUUAUGACUUUCUUGAAUGAGGGAAGUAAAAGAAGCAUUGAGAGAGAACGUAGAGUACUACAAGAGAAAAUAGAGAGACAAGAGAGAAGGAAAGANN